UUCAAAUUCACAUAUAUAUGUUCUUCGCAACUCAAAUCCACAUCUCCGAUUGCUUCUCCAAGCACCAUCGUCUUAUUGUUGAUCCGCACACAAUAAGACAAUGCUUGAGAAAGAGUUUUUCAAUGGAGAGGCGAAUCAGUACGAGAUUCAGGAAGUGAUUGGGAAGGGAAGCUAUGGAGUUGUGGCCUCCGCUAUAGACACUCAUACCGGAGAGAAGGUGGCUAUCAAGAAGAUGAACGAUAUUUUUGAGCACGUCUCUGAUGCCACGCGCAUUCUGCGAGAGAUCAAGCUUCUCCGCCUCCUCAGACACCCUGAUAUUGUUGAAAUCAAGCACAUAAUGCUUCCUCCAUCGCCUAGAGAGUUCAAGGAUAUUUAUGUCGUUUUUGAAUUGAUGGAAUCUGAUCUUCACCA
rnacentral:misc_RNA from 1 species